UACGUAGGGUGCGAGCGUUAAUCGGAAUUACUGGGCGUAAAGCGUGCGCAGGCGGUUCGUUGUGUCGGCGGUGAAAGCCCCGGGCUUAACCUGGGAAUGGCCGUUGAAACUGGCGAACUGGAGUGUGGCAGAGGGGGGUGGAAUUCCGCGUGUAGCAGUGAAAUGCGUAGAGAUGCGGAGGAACACCGAUGGCGAAGGCAGCCCCCUGGGCUAACACUGACGCUGAGGCGCGAAAGCUAGGGGAGCAAACAGG
rnacentral:rRNA from 1 species